UGGUGGAGUGAUUUGUCUGGUUAAUUCCGUUAACGAACGAGACCUCGACCUGCUAAAUAGUUUUGCGAAUUCUUCGGGAUUUGAUUAUCUUUAAAACUUCUUAGAGGGACUAUCGGUGAUUUAGCCGACGGAAGUUCGAGGCAAUAACA
rnacentral:rRNA from 1 species